CAGAAAGCUCGCAUUACAGGCCGGGUGUGGACAGAUGUGGGCCUAACUAAAGAAGCUAUGGAGUUGCAGUAUGGGAAAUCGCCUGGACGUGCUAAAUUGCUGGAGUGGCCUGUCAAUCAUUCAAUAAGAAAGGCAGCUUUUACUCUUGUGGGUGACUUCAACCACUCCAGCCUGAACUCUGUACUCCCCAAAUUCCUCCUACAUGUCUCCUGGUGAGACCUAGGACAGCCUGACCACCUCUCAACUGUCCCUGCUCCUGAAGUACACACCACUUAUCAAACAUACCCCCCAAUGACUGAAGAUUCUUCCAAAACAACAUAGCAUGGUAGCAUAACUCAACUUGGCUGCAUGCCAUCUUAUUGUCAGAGAUGUGUGAGUCACAUCCUAAUCUGUAUGUCUGAAUGAAUUAUGAAGAUUUAUUGAAGAGGUAGGCAUGGUUUAGGCAGGCUGAAGGUAGCAGGGUCAUGACUAAGCUCAUCUCUCACUCAUUAGCAUCCAGGCAUUUCACCUUGGGAGAAGAGAUUUUGGACAUGCCACGAAGAAGAUGCUGAAGGCAAGACAUUUCGGAGACAGAAGAUAGCGAGAGCACAGAUUGUCUCAUACAACAUUCACAUUGGUAACUUUGUUCUCCUCUUGCCUGUUUGUAAUGAUGAAUUGUGUGCUGUUUUCAAAUGCUUUCAGCCAAGCAAGAUUUCUCUCAGUACUGAUAAAUGUAACUUCAUGAUCUUUUAGAACAAAAACAAAGAGUGGAGUUAGGAGUUACUGUAGAUGAAAGGUUAAAUCAGAAAAACCGUAGCAAUGUUGUUUUGUGUGUACAGAUAUUGUUUAUGCUAUGUGUUCUUUGUUUGUUUAGAUGAAUAAUAAUGCUAGUUUUUUCUGUAAUGCAAUUUCUUAAUUUCUGUUGAAUGUAUUUUGUAUUUUCACAAAGGUGCAACUAAACUAAACUACUACCUUGUAUUAUCUUCCUUUAUAUGCCUUCCAAGUAUUGGUUGAACUAAAAAUGGCAGUUUGAGCUUUGAGGUUUUUUUUGAAAAUGCUGUGCACAGUUAGUUAAGGUAGAACCUAAAGAAUGAAACUGAUGAAGUGGCAUUAGAUGCCCCUGACGAUGCGAAGACAAGUAUGAUGGUCAGUUGCACCGGAAUGGUGAAUUUAUUAUAGCUAUUAAACAACUUACUUAUUGAUAUGAUUUCUUUCAUGUUUUGUUUAUUUGUUUGUUUGAUAUUGGACUUUUUAGGCCUAGAUACUCAAGACAUAAUUUUAGUUAAAUGAUUUAACAUAGUGAUGCACAAUUACAAUGUAUGCAUGGCUGUAACUGCUUUGCUGAUUGACU